GGGCCAGUAGCUCAGUUGGUUAGAGCGGCUGCCUCUUAAGCAGCAUGUCGUGGGUUCGAAUCCCACCUGGCCCUCCA
rnacentral:tRNA from 1 species